rnacentral:pre_miRNA from 1 species
CAAAUACUCCCUCCGUCCGGAAAUACUUGUCAUCAAAAUGGAUAAAAGGAAAUGUAUCUAGACGUAUUUUAGUUUUAGAUACAUCUCUUUUUAUCCAUUUGAUGACAAGUAUUUUCGGACGAAGGGAGUAGAAA